rnacentral:rRNA from 1 species
AUGCAGGAGACCCCUGACACCACCGUGGAGCCUCUUUUCUGUGGCCAGCUGGAGCUUUCUGAACCCACCUGCAUGAUGCACCACAUGAGGCCAAUUAAGUGUGUGGCAUUUGAAGGAACCUUAACUGGAAGGCGUUUCUAUGGUUGUCCAGUGCCGCAGAGUGAAGGUGUUAACUGUGGUGUUACUGAGUGGGUUGACAAGCCCUGGCAUCCAAUUCUUCAGAAUUGCUUGUCCAGGCUGUGGGACAUGUACCAUGAACAGAAUUGUGGCAGGGUAGUUGAUAAGCAGAAGUAUGAGAAGCAUUUGGCCAAGCUUAAGACUGAAAAUGACAAGCUGUGCAUUGAGUACACAAAGAUUGUCCAAGAUGUAUCCAAGAUGUUUGAUUGGCAGGAUGGUAGGGUAGACCACAUGGAUUACUAG